UACGUAGGGGGCAAGCGUUGUCCGGAUUUAUUGGGCGUAAAGAGCGUGUAGGCGGCCAGGUAAGUCAGGUGUGAAAACUCCAGGCUCAACCUGGAGACGCCACUUGAUACUGCUGUGGCUAGAGUCCGGUAGGGGAGCAUGGAAUUCCUGGUGUAGCGGUGAAAUGCGCAGAUAUCAGGAGGAACACCAGUGGCGAAGGCGGUGCUCUGGGCCGGAACUGACGCUGAGGAGCGAAAGCGUGGGGAGCAAACAGG
rnacentral:rRNA from 1 species